GGCUGGUCCAAUAGUAGUGGGAUAUUGUCAGAACUUAUUAAUGCCACUAAAGUUGGUAUACAAUCUCCCACUGCCAAAUUUGGCUUUUA
ensembl:Y_RNA Y_RNA Y RNA